rnacentral:tRNA from 2 species
GCCGAAGUGGCGGAAUUGGUAGACGCGCUAGGUUCAGGGCCUAGUGGGUGCAAGCCCGUGGAAGUUCGAGUCUUCUCUUCGGCACCA